rnacentral:rRNA from 1 species
AUGCGUUGUUGGGUAGGGGAGCGUUCUGUAAGCCUGUGAAGGUGUGCUGUGAGGCAUGCUGGAGGUAUCAGAAGUGCGAAUGCUGACAUAAGUAACGAUAAAGCGGGUGAAAAGCCCGCUCGCCGGAAGACCAAGGGUUCCUGUCCAACGUUAAUCGGGGCAGGGUGAGUCGACCCCUAAGGCGAGGCCGAAAGGCGUAGUCGAUGGGAAACAGGUUAAUAUUCCUGUACUUGGUGUUACUGCGAAGGGGGGACGGAGAAGGCUAUGUUGGCCGGGCGACGGUUGUCCCGGUUUAAGCGUGUAGGCUGGUUUUCCAGGCAAAUCCGGAAAAUCAAGGCUGAGGCGUGAUGACGAGGCACUACGGUGCUGAAGCAACAAAUGCCCUGCUUCCAGGAAAAGCCUCUAAGCAUCAGGUAACAUCAAAUCGUACCCCAAACCGACACAGGUGGUCAGGUAGAGAAUACCAAGGCGCUUGAGAGAACUCGGGUGAAGGAACUAGGCAAAAUGGUGCCGUAACUUCGGGAGAAGGCACGCUGAUAUGUAGGUGAAGUCCCUCGCGGAUGGAGCUGAAAUCAGUCGAAGAUACCAGCUGGCUGCAACUGUUUAUUAAAAACACAGCACUGUGCAAACACGAAAGUGGACGUAUACGGUGUGACGCCUGCCCGGUGCCGGAAGGUUAAUUGAUGGGGUCAGCGCAAGCGAAGCUCUUGAUCGAAGCCCCGGUAAACGGCGGCCGUAACUAUAACGGUCCUAAGGUAGCGAAAUUCCUUGUCGGGUAAGUUCCGACCUGCACGAAUGGCGUAAUGAUGGCCAGGCUGUCUCCACCCGAGACUCAGUGAAAUUGAACUCGCUGUGAAGAUGCAGUGUACCCGCGGCAAGACGGAAAGACCCCGUGAACCUUUACUAUAGCUUGACACUGAACAUUGAGCCUUGAUGUGUAGGAUAGGUGGGAGGCUUAGAAGUGUGGACGCCAGUCUGCAUGGAGCCGACCUUGAAAUACCACCCUUUAAUGUUUGAUGUUCUAACGUUGACCCGUAAUCCGGGUUGCGGACAGUGUCUGGUGGGUAGUUUGACUGGGGCGGUCUCCUCCUAAAGAGUAACGGAGGAGCACGAAGGUUGGCUAAUCCUGGUCGGACAUCAGGAGGUUAGUGCAAUGGCAUAAGCCAGCUUGACUGCGAGCGUGACGGCGCGAGCAGGUGCGAAAGCAGGUCAUAGUGAUCCGGUGGUUCUGAAUGGAAGGGCCAUCGCUCAACGGAUAAAAGGUACUCCGGGGAUAACAGGCUGAUACCGCCCAAGAGUUCAUAUCGACGGCGGUGUUUGGCACCUCGAUGUCGGCUCAUCACAUCCUGGGGCUGAAGUAGGUCCCAAGGGUAUGGCUGUUCGCCAUUUAAAGUGGUACGCGAGCUGGGUUUAGAACGUCGUGAGACAGUUCGGUCCCUAUCUGCCGUGGGCGCUGGAGAACUGAGGGGGGCUGCUCCUAGUACGAGAGGACCGGAGUGGACGCAUCACUGGUGUUCGGGUUGUCAUGCCAAUG